rnacentral:rRNA from 1 species
AUUGAACGCUGGCGGCAGGCCUAACACAUGCAAGUCGAACGAGUGGCGGACGGGUGAGUAAUGUCUGGGAAACUGCCUGAUGGAGGGGGAUAACUACUGGAAACGGUAGCUAAUACCGCUGACCAUCAGAUGUGCCCAGAUGGGAUUAGCUUGUUGGUGGGGUAACGGAUCACCAAGUCGAAGAUCCCUAGCUGGUCUGAGAGGAUGACCAGCCAAACUUGAACUGAGACGCGGUCCAGACGCCUACGGGAGGCAGCAGUGGGGACUAUUGCACAAUGGGCGCAAGCCUGAUGCAGCCAUGCCGCGGGUAUGAAGAAGGCCUUCGGGUUGUAAAGUACUUUCAGCGGGGAGGCGUUACCCGCAGAAGAAGCACCGGCUAACUCCGUGCCAGCAGCCGCGGUAAUUC